CCNCCCCCCCCCCCCCCCCGACUCAUUCAACACGGUCUUCCUUGUCUUCGUCCCCGCUUCAAGUUCUGCUCCAACAAAGACAACAGAUAUGAGAGGUGGUGAUGCGGAAGCAAAGGGACAAACUCUAGAAGACCUCUUCUUCCGAGAACAAUCAAAAUUUGGAUUGCAGAACCAUCGAGACGUGUAUGUGUAUGAAGCUAGAACUUAGGAGGGAUUGUGUUUGCUACAUGUUUACCUUCAACCAGCUUCUCUCUUUCUCCCUCCUCCACGUUCUGUGUUGUGUAGCUGAGACGAGACCUAUGGAGUUUGGUGUAACCGAAGACUGUCGUUGGCCUUUGAAGAUACACCUAUCACAAGGACCUAGGUGAAUAGCUAAGCCCAGAUGUUUCUUCUGUUGACUGGUGCAUGAUUCGAGGAAGGAGGCUGCUUGCUUGCAGAUCAAACUCAAUGGCCAAGAUUGUACAUGAUGAUGAGCUAGUGAAGUUGUGAUGGCUCCAGGAGAAGUAUCUGAGCUAGGCUUUGCUAAAGCAGGUCCUUAAAAGGAAGCAAAGGGAUGGCCAAACCUAGUUUCAGAGCAUGUUGUUGGCUUGUUGCUUCUCUAGGAUGGAGAAUAUGCUUUCUUCACAGAAAGAGGGAUGAUGCUUGCACGCUAUAUGACGCAGCAACAACAAAUAUGGAAUGGAAAAUUAAUAUCGUUUUUCUUAAAUCUCUAUGUGGAGGUCGUUGAAUAUGAUGCAGCUUGUUUGGUAGAAGUUAUCGCAGAAACGUGGACAACACACUUUUUCCCUGUCUUGUGGAGUUGGAGAGGUUACAUGUCCUCCUAAAGGUGUGUGUGGAUCCUGGAAGGAGCCAACUCUCGUGUUAGCUAAUUCGUGCUAUGGAGUCCAAAAGCAUAGCCAAGUUGUUUUUGUAGUAGAUUGGAGCUCAACGUCCAACAUGUUUUCCUUACAACCAUGGAAUGGAAAAUAAAUAUCCUUUUUCUUAAUCUCUCUUCUGGGUAGUUAUCAUAGAACCGUGGACAACACACUUAUGCCCUGCCCUGUGGAUCAUCCCAAAACCAGUUGGAGAUGUCACAUGUCCUCCAAAAGGUGAAACUUUCUGUCUUCGAUCUCCACACGCAGAGUGAGUUAAUAUCUGGUGGAGCCAAUCGAGAUAUUUGUUCUGUUAACUGGUGGAUUUGAGGAGGCUGGUUGCAGAUCGAACUUAGUGGCCAAGGUUGUACAUGAUGAGCUAGUGAAGUUGUGAUGGCUGCAGGAUGAGUAUCUGAGCUACGCUUUGCUAAACCAGGUCUUAAGGCGGAAGCAAAGACGACCAAACCCUAGAAGACCUCAUCCUAUACAAAUAAACUUGUGGUAUUAUAUUUCCGUGAAUAGAGUUCCUUGUAAUCAGACAACGGUGCUCUUCUCCAUCGAGACAUGUAUGUAUGAAGCCAGAACUUAGGAGAGGUUGUGUCUGCUACAUGUUCACCUUCUUGCUUCCUCAACCAGCUUCUCUCUUUCUCCCUCCUCCACGCUGAGACGAGACCUAUGGAGUUUGGUGAAACAGAAGACUGCUUUUGGAGUAUGAUGUUUGAUGAGAGUCAUGCCUGGAAGCCAUUCAAAGCUGCCACUGAUCUCUUAGCCAAGAAAGAUGAUUGACCUCCAUUGAAAACUAACAAGGUGCGUGUUGGCCAUGGUAAGUGUGUUAUUAUCUGCAGAUUGUAUUGUUACAGGAGGCAACACUGCCGCAGCCAAUCAAUAUAUGGCCAAGUGAUGAAAUGGCCUCGUUAGUUAGCAUUCUUCAAUCGUGGGGAUCUUACUUGAGCUAUCUAAAACAAGAGGUCUCCGGAAUCUUGGUGUGGGGUUUUAUGUCAUCUUUGCCAACUUCUCUCGUCCAAAGCGUGCCUGGGGAUCACAGUCAGGAGGGAGACACAAUAACUUGUGGUGACUUGAAAUUUUUUUGGGUUUACUAGGAAGCAGCUGGAUUCAUUGUUAAUGAUCCUGGUCGCACAAGGUUGCCAAUAUCUCUGGAGCUUGGACCAGGAAUAUUGGGAAAUCAUCUUCGAUAUGGAGUUCAGAUUUUCUUGGAUUUUAUAUUCUUGCCUAACAUGAAGUUUUCUGAUUUGUUUGACCAUUACAAAAUGCAGUCUGUGCAUGACUUCUCACGGUUCUUUCUCACAGGAUGCCUUUGGAAAACUAUUGCGGGAUAUUCAGUAAUGUGUACAUCCCUCUUUCUGUCCCAGCUCUUGACAAAGAUUGUCCUUGGGACUAGUUCCCACUUUCACCAAUUCUGACCUUCUUUGAGAACACUUUGUUGAAUCAUCAUGGGUUUCUUUACCUUUAAUGUUUGAGAUACAGUGAUAGAGCUUGAAUUCUAAGGGAUCAAGAAAUCGUACACCAUGCUUCAGAGCUGGCCUGUACGUAUGCCUAGGCCAAUUGCAUUAAAGCUUGCUGCCGAUACUCCUCUACUUACUGGGCAGCGUGUCCUUUAUGCCCUUCUCUUCUUGAUGGAACCUGUGCGGUUCCUGGUGCCUUUGGCAGUGGGAAAACUGUUAUCAGUCAGACACUUUCCAAGUACUCCAACUCCGAUGUUGUUGUCUAUGUUGGUUGUGGAGAGAGAGAGGAAGUGAAAUGGCUGAGGUUAUGGACUUCCCACAAGGCCAGAAUUGACAAUGACGUUGCCUGUGAUGGUCGUGAGGAAUCUGUCAUGAAACGUACCACACUUGUUGCUAACACCUCUAACAUCCCUGUGGCUGCUCGUGAUUUACACAGGAAUAUCACAAUCGCUGAAUAUAUUGGAGAUAUGGGAUACAAUGUUAGUAUGAUGGCAGAAUCAACUUCCCGAUGGGCAGAAGUUGGCUUAUGAUGUUUCUUCAUCAAGGAUGGAAGUGCAAUUUCGGUUUCAUUUCUUUCAUCUGCAGCUACAUUAUAUUGUUUAGCUGUGCCACUUCAUGGUUUGGCUAAUCAGUUUUGCUGUGGAUCAAAUCAGGUGUUGUUCGUUUGGUGAACCAGACGCAGUAUCUGGACGCAAAUGCAUGUUAUUGUUCGUUUAGUGACAAUUAAGAAAUGAACUGGAUUAUGUAUUUGGAUGAGUUUUGAAAACUCAUCUAAAAAAAAGCUGAAUUUCUGAAUGAGUUUUUUUUGGAGAGUUUGGAUGAGAUAAACUCAUCCAUAAUUGGUAAAAGUCCAAA